rnacentral:rRNA from 1 species
CCUACGGGUGGCUGCAGUGGGGAAUAUUGGACAAUGGGCGAAAGCCUGAUCCAGCCAUGCCGCGUGUGUGAAGAAGGCCUUCGGGUUGUAAAGCACUUUCAGUGGGGAAGAAAGCCUUGGGGCUAAUACCCUCGAGGAAGGACAUCACCCCCAGAAGAAGCACCGGCUAACUCCGUGCCAGCAGCCGCGGUAAUACGGUGGGUGCGAGCGUUAAUCGGAAUUACUGGGCGUAAAGCGCGCGUAGGCGGUCUGAUAAGCCGGUUGUGAAAGCCCCGGGCUCAACCUGGGAACGGCAUCCGGAACUGUCAGGCUAGAGUGCAGGAGAGGAAGGUAGAAUUCCCGGUGUAGCGGUGAAAUGCGUAGAGAUCGGGAGGAAUACCAGUGGCGAAGGCGGCCUUCUGGACUGACACUGACGCUGAGGUGCGAAAGCGUGGGUAGCAAACAGGAUUAGAUACCCCAGUAGUC